rnacentral:lncRNA from 1 species
UCUUGGAUUGCACCACUUAUGCCUAGACUACCUCACCCCCUACAUUGCACCUGCACCACCUAGCCACCAAUGGUGCAUUGGUCAGUUCCCAACAAUGUAUCACCACCACUAAUCCUCCAAUAAGCCUAGCAGAAAGUGAAGUAGCCCAAUACACAAGUUGAAGUCUUAACUUCGAAUUUGGGCCCACUUAUCCUAAAUUU